UGCUGCUGUACCUCAGGUUGAUCCUUUCACC
rnacentral:piRNA from 1 species